rnacentral:rRNA from 1 species
GGAGAGUCCCGGGCAGCAUGGGGGGGUAAUAGGUAGGGGUGUGUCGUGUGUGGGAAUGACUGGGGGUAAAGCGCACUUAGGCGGCUGUUCAAGUCAGAGGAGUAAGCACGGGGCGCAACCCCGGAACUGCCUUUGAAACUAGAUCGCUAGAAUCCUGGAGAGGUGAGUGGAAUUCCGAGUGUAGAGGUGAAAGUCGUAGAUAUUCGGAAGAACACCAGUGGCGAAGGCGACUCACUGGACAGGUAUUGACGCUGAGGUGCGAAAGCGUGGGGAGCAAACAGGAUUAGAUACCCGUUAGUC